GCUUCCGCUGCCCCGAAGUCCUCUUCCAGCCGUCCUUCAUCGGCAAGGAAGCCUCCGGC
rnacentral:ribozyme from 1 species